rnacentral:sRNA from 1 species
UUUUUUUUUAGUUUUUGGAUUUGAUAUGAUUUUUGUUUUGUGUU